rnacentral:rRNA from 1 species
GACGAACGCUGGCGGCGUGCCUAAUACAUGCAAGUAGAACGCACAGUUUAUACCGUAGCUUGCUACACCAUAGACUGUGAGUUGCGAACGGGUGAGUAACGCGUAGGUAACCUGCCUGGUAGCGGGGGAUAACUAUUGGAAACGAUAGCUAAUACCGCAUAAUAUUAAUUAUUGCAUGAUAAUUAAUUGAAAGGUGCAAUUGCACCACUACCAGAUGGACCUGCGUUGUAUUAGCUAGUAGGUGAGGUAACGGCUCACCUAGGCGACGAUACAUAGCCGACCUGAGAGGGUGAUCGGCCACACUGGGACUGAGACACGGCCCAGACUCCUACGGGAGGCAGCAGUAGGGAAUCUUCGGCAAUGGACGAAAGUCUGACCGAGCAACGCCGCGUGAGUGGAGAAGGUUUUCGGAUCGUAAAGCUCUGUUGUAAGAGAAGAACGGGUGUGAGAGUGGAAAGUUCACACUGUGACGGUAUCUUACCAGAAAGGGACGGCUAACUACGU